rnacentral:lncRNA from 1 species
UUAGGGCAUGACCUAGGUUUACUCCUAGUUUUAGAGGGUGCGGUGACAAAUUCGACUUAUGUAUCCCGUUUCAGUUUCAUCCUGAUUCCAUACCGAUUUAAAGUCCGCGAUUGGUUAUCGGCUUAUACGACUUGUAUGGUUGGAACAGAGCAUCUCUUCAAGGAAAAUUUUUAAGCCUCCUGGAAGUGCUGACCAAAAAUUUUGGGUUUUGUUUUAUAGCGAGAGUAUCCUUGUGUCGGAUGUAUGAGAGUCAUCUCUACGAGAUGGCUAAGUCUGUUUCGGACGUUAAGAGUUUGUUAUGAUCAUCAACAAACUUAAUGGUAAAAAUAACCGUUUUGAGUCUUCGCGAAGGAUAUGUUUUGAGAAGAUGUUAGU